rnacentral:lncRNA from 1 species
CUGCCGCCCCGGGGAUCCUGAGCCCGCGGCGCGCUCACCCUUCUCCUUGGUCAUGAUGGAGAUGAGCGGCAUCCGCGGGCGGUCACUGAACACUUCAGCCUGCUGCACUAGCGCCUCGCGCACGCUGUGGAAGUCGCUGAGGACCACCACCAGACGGUGGCCGAUGAAGAAGCUGAAGAUGUUGCCAUAGACACGGGCCAUCCUGGCCAGGUUCACAUGCUGGCCCACCGUGUCCGUCUGGCUGCCCGAGCUCAGCCAGAACUGAGGCCGCAGGAAGCGUGGCACCAGCAAGUGCCCGAAGUUACCCACGAGUGGCCGAGGCUUGGGCCCCGGAGGGAUGCCGCAUGCGCGCUGCCGCCGCAGCCAAACCCAGCCCAGCAGCACCGCCAGCACGCAAAGCAGCAGCGCGCCUCCGGUCGCCCGCACGUGCAGUCUAGCUCCGGGCUGCUCCCCUGCCGCGGGACGCGGGCCCCCGAGCGAGGACAUGCCCCAGGUGCCGCCUGCGUCUAGCUCCGCCGCAGAAGCACCAGCACCUGCGACAGUAGCCGGCUACUUGACUCGAAGGUCAACCGCGAGACAGGGCAAGGCACACCCUUCCGAUUGGUUGCGCCGCGUGCCCCUCUCGGCAUCCUCCAGUCAGCUGCUCCUGCAUAGGAAGAAGAUGAAAUGUCAGCUGUCAUGUUGGUGAAGUGUCUGAGACUGCUUAAAAACUGAACAAGUCAGGAUGGACUCCUGGGUCUGAGACAAAGGGCUUUAUUUAAAGUACACUGUAGCAGCCCAUGAGAACAUAUUACUUGGGACUCCCUAGUCCUCCAAGGUUCACAGUGAGGGACACUGAGGAAGUCAAGGUGGAUGCCACAUAGGUAUUGUCUGCAUCUCGGCUGAGUAAUCUGAACCUUGCAUCCCUGUCAUGCUCAGCAAAUAUAUGCUAAGAGGGAUGCUGAGGGCCCAUGGUGGGGUGAAACAAAAUCUAGACCUCACUGCCCAUAGAAAUAAUUACCUUCCUGUUUCCUGGACCGUAAUGCUGGUUAGUGAUUUGAUCUUUUCAAUAUAUGACUUGGCAGCUGCGUUAGUUCUUUUUCUGUUGCUGUGUUACAAUACCAUGACCAAGGCAACUUAGAGAAGAAAGGAUUUGAUUGACAGUUCCAGAGGGGUAAGAGUAUGUCAUGGGGAAACAUGGGAGCAAGCCGCAGGCAUGGAAGAAGGAGCAGAAAGCUGAGAGCUCAUCUUGAACUGCAAGCAUGAAGUAGAGAGUGAACUAGUGCACUAGAGUGCACGUCUUUAACUCUGGAAGCCCACCCCAUGCGCCAUGCCUCAGCUCCAAUAAGACCACACCUCCUGAGCCUCUCCAAACACACCACCAACUGGGGGCCAUGGGUUCAAAUGCCCACGGUGGGGAACAUCUCAUUCAACAGCAGUUACAGGUGUGUUGGCACUGCAUCCCAACAGCAGGGCUGCAUCUAUCAGCAACUCUGGUGACACGCACACGCUGACACUCAGGUACCUGGUGAACAAAGGUUGCUUUGCUGUCUUCCUAUCUUUCAGGAGAUAAAAAUGUCAGGUUGAGUAUCAUCACAACAUUCCCAUCACCUCUAGACAGAAUGGCAUCAUUAUCUGGAGGGAAUGAAGGCUCUUUGCAAGCCUGUGAUCACAGCGAUCUGUGGUCUCUGAACAGAACACCCUAUAAUCUCGGAGCUGAGCCCACUGUUAAAACAGGCAGAGAGGUGACACUGUUCCACUCCCCAGUGUGGUGGGGAUAGGUUGUAAAACUCUGCCACUGAACUAGUGGAGACUUUGAUCCACGGUCGCAGUCUAGUCCUCAUGCUGGGACUCGCAGGCACACGAUGACUCUAAGAUCAGUAACUGAAACACAAGCCUCUCACCCAGCGUGGGUGGCAACCAACUUUUCUACGACCACUCUCAUUUUCGUUUUAUGUUCGUUAUUGCUCGGGAGCCUUGCACACGGUUUCGGGCAUGUGAAGCGUCCCCUUGGCUCUGCAGUGGAGGCAGCUUAAGGAGUGAACAGGGGGCCCAGGUCAGUCCACUCUUUCCCUCAAGCACUUCUUAAAGCACAGGGAGAACUUGAUGCUUUCACAGGAAGCCCACUAGGGGGAGCUUCCGACCAAGAAAACAAAAGGACCAAUCAGCCUGUUAGCAGAAGCUCUGGACUUAGUUCAAGGGACCAUUCACAUCAGUACCACACAUUGUAGACAAGCAUAGGCUGAGGCUGCGGCUGUGCCUGACACAGCAGCUGGCCUGUAAUCCAGAGAGGACAUCACUGGGAUGAGCUUCCCAGCCACCCUGGCAGAUAGGACACAGGAUCUCUGUGGACCUUUGCUCUGUCACUUUCAGACCGCACAGGGAUAAAGGCUGCACCACACCCAGCAACCCCAUCUCCGAGCCCAAUGUCUUACCUAGCCCCCUCAUCCCAGUGGGCUGCUUUUACUUAGUUUCAUUUCAACUUCAUCAGGGAGUCCAAAUGUAACCUUCUGAAACCUGCCUUGGACACCGCUAGGGGUCCGGUUGAGGUCAUUACACAGAGGACACUGCUGUGACAUUUCCUGUAGAACUUGGAGGCCAGAAAAGAACCUCCUUAUAUUGAGGGAUUAGUGAGCUUGCUUAUGUCAACAGUAAUAAUCUAAACUUGGAUUGUAUAACUGAUUUUUUUAAAUCCAUAAAUGUCCUAAUUUUUUAACCUAAAAAUUUGUUGAUAGGAAAAAUAAUAAAUUUUAGUUUACUU